rnacentral:rRNA from 1 species
CCUACGGGUGGCAGCAGUGAGGAAUAUUGGUCAAUGGACGAGAGUCUGAACCAGCCAAGUAGCGUGAAGGAUGACUGCCCUAUGGGUUGUAAACUUCUUUUAUAUGGGAAUAAAAUGUUCCACGUGUGGGAUUUUGUAUGUACCAUAUGAAUAAGGAUCGGCUAACUCCGUGCCAGCAGCCGCGGUAAGACGGAGGAUCCGAGCGUUAUCCGGAUUUAUUGGGUUUAAAGGGAGCGUAGGUGGAUUGUUAAGUCAGUUGUGAAAGUUUGCGGCUCAACCGUAAAAUUGCAGUUGAAACUGGCAGUCUUGAGUACAGUAGAGGUGGGCGGAAUUCGUGGUGUAGCGGUGAAAUGCUUAGAUAUCACGAAGAACUCCGAUUGCGAAGGCAGUUCACUGGACUGCAACUGACACUGAGGCUCGAAAGUGUGGGUAUCAAACAGGAUUAGAUACCCGUGUAGUC